rnacentral:lncRNA from 1 species
UGCCCGCAGGAGGGGCAGCGCCGCCCGCCCGCCCUCGCCCCAUUUUCCGCGCUCGCUCCCUCGGGGCGCAGCGAGAGGGGCCGAGGGGGUUCGGGAGCCCCCCGGGGAAAAAGGAGGGGCUGCGGGGGGGGGGCGCCUUUGUUCCUCCCCAUCCCCAUCCUCGGCGGGGCGGGCCCCGCGCAUGCGCCGGGCAGAGACAAAGGAAGGGGCGGCUGCGCCCCCCCGGCGGCGGGGAGCCCCCCCGCGACCCCCACCGCAUCCCGGCUCCCCCCGGCGGCCUAAGCUCCGCUCCGCAGCCGUGCCACGCCUGCCCAAACGCAGCGGAGGGGCCGGCCCGGCGUUUUCCGUCAAAUUGGGGUGUGUAAAGUAUCUCCAGCUUUUCCUCCUGUCUGCAAGGAAUUGGAGGAAAAUGCUGGUAUCAGGAAGAAGAAAGCACCGAGCAAGGCACCUGCAGGAGGAUGGAGAGCUGUCUCUUCUGGAAAUGUAGGUCAUACCAGCUAUCCCGUUUCCACCUUGGCCAUUAGGGACCAACUCCAACCCUACAUUCCUGAUUCGCCCUUUCAUUUGGAUCCAGCUUCUCCUUCUGCUUUACAAGCAGCUCUGUGCUUUGUGAGGUCUGACAGCAGA